rnacentral:lncRNA from 1 species
UCUGAAAUAAAAGAUCACUGAAAAUGUCUAUAUGCACAAAAAAUGUAUUUCUCUGAAAUUCUGUGCAAAAAUGUGUUUGCAUCCCUGUAAGUGAGCAUUUCUCCUCUCCACCCAAGACAGGUGUGGCAUAUCAAGAAGCUGAUUUAACAGGAUGAUAAUUACAUAGGUGCACCUUCUGCAGUGGACAAUAAAAGGCCAUUCUAAAAUGUGCAGUUUUGUCACACAACACAAUGCCACAGAUGUCUCAAGUUUUGAGGGAGUGUGCAAUUGGCGUGCUGACUACAGGAAUGUCAGAGCUGUUGUCAGAAUUUCAUUUUGAUUUAUCUACCGUAAGCCGCCUACAACAUCGUUUUAAAGAAUUUGGCAGUACGCUCAACCAGCCUCACAACCGGAGACUAGGUGUAACCAUGCCAGCCCAGGACCUCCACAUCCGGCUUCUUCACCUGCAGGAUCAUCUGUGUGCUCGUCAUCCUCACCAGGGUCUUGACCUGACUGCAGUUCGGCGUCAUAACCAACUUCAGUGAGCAAAUGCUCACCUUCGAUGGCCACUGGCACACUGGAGAAGUGUGCUCUUCAUGGAUGAAUCCCAGUUUCAGCUGUACCGGCCAGAUAGCGUCAUGUUGGCGAAUGGUUUGCUGAUGUCUACGUUGUGAACAGAGUGCCCCAUGGGGGCAGUGGGGUUAUGUUAUGGGCAGGCAUAAGCUAAGGACAACGAACACAGUUGCAUUUUCUUGAUGGCAAAUUGAAUGCACUUACAGUAGAUACCGUGACGAGAUCCUGAGGCCCAUUGUCGUGCCAUCCAUCCGCCGCCAUCAUCAUCUCAUGUUUCAGCAUGAUAAUGCACGGCCCCAUGUCGCAAGGAUCUGAACACAAUUCCUGGAAGCUGAAAUGUCCCAGUUCUUCCAUGGUCUGCAUACUCACCAACAUGUCAUCCAUUGAGCAUGUUUAGGAUGCUCUGUAUCAACGUGUAUGACAGCGUGUUCCAAUAUCCAGCAACUUCGCACAGUCAUUGAAGAGGAGUGGUACAACAUUUCACAGUCCACGAUGAACAGCCCGAUCAACAUGCGUGCUGCAUGAGGCAAAUGGUAGUCACACCAGAUACUGACUGUUUUUCCUGAUCCACGCCCCUACCUUUUUUUUAAAGGUAUCUGUGACCAACAGAUGCAUACCUGUAUUCCCAGUCAUGUGAUAUCCAUAGAUUCAGGCCUAAUUUAUUUAUUUCAAUUGACUGAUUUCCUUAAAUGAACUGUAAAUAUUAGAAAUUGUUGCAUGUUGAGUUUAUAUUUUUGUUCAGUGUAGCUCUGUAGCAUUAGCAUUCAGCUGCUCAUCUGUCCAGUAAUGAUCUGUGCACUGAUGGCCUGUCAUCUUCAGUCAGGGGCAGAGGAAGUGGAGGCCUGCCUCUCUGUUUCAUAAUAACUCACUGUUUAGUCAAUGAAUUGACAUUUACCUCUGUAUGAAGUCUCAAUCAGGGAUGGACUUUCACACAAGCUAACAGAUUACCCUGCGAGUUUGAGUCAGGCGUUUUUCAAUAGGUCAUCCUACCAAAAUGCCGUCCUUCCUCACACUAUACACUGAGUGUACAAAACAUUAGGAAGACAUUCUUAAUAUUGAGUUUCACUCCCUUUUGCCCUCAUUAACAGCCUCAUUUUUUCGGGCCAUGGACUCUACAAGGUGUCAAAAGCAUUCCACAGGGACGGUGGCAAGUGUUGACUCCAAUGUUUCCCACAGUUGUGUCAAGUUGGCUGGAUGUUCUUUGGGUGCCCUGACCAUUCUUGAUACACACAGGAAACUGUUGAGAGUCAAAAACCCAGCAGCGUUGCAGUUCUUGGCACACUCAAACCAGUGCACCUGGCACCUACUACCAUACCCUGUUCAAAGGCACUUCAAUAUUUUGUCUUGAUCUUUCAACCUCUGAAUGGCACACAUACACAAUCCAUGUCUCAAUUGUCUCAAGGCUUGAAAAUCCUUCUUUAACCGGUCUCCUCCCCUUCAUCUACACUGAUUGAAGUGGAUUUAACAAGGGACAUCAUGUCUAUGUCAUGGAAAGAGCCAGUGUUCCUAAUGUUUUGUACACUUCGUGUAGAACGGAUGCUAACCACAGGAGGUUGGUGGCACCUUAAUUAGGGAGGACGGGCUCAUGGUAAUGGCUGGAGUGGAAUUAGUGGAAUGGUAUCAAAUACAUCAAACAAUGGUUUCCAUGUGUUUGAUGCCAUUCCAUUUCCUCCAUUCCAGACAUUAUAAUGAGCCGUAAUCCCCUCAGCAGCCUCCUGUGAUGCUAAGUACCCUGUUUGGUAAUCAGGCCGCCACUUUCAGUCAGCUAACAUGGAUGGAUAAGUGCCUUUUUUUUGAGGCAAUGAUUGUCUUUUUCAUAAUAACAUAAACCAUCAAAGAGAAAUUCCAAAUCCAUCAGACUAAAUAAUGUUUCAUACAUUAUACAUGAAGUGAUCUGUGAACAUUCUAUGUUAAGUUAAUGUGAUUCAUGCAGUAACAUUUAAUGUUUGUUUUUGUAUAUAAGUAUUUAGCGAAAGGGUUACUGUGUUCCAGGUAAGACAGUAGAUAGUGAUAGUGAGAGGGUUACUGUGUUCCAGGUGAGACAGUAGAUAGUGAUAGUGAGAGGGUUACUGUGUUCCAGGUGAGACAGUAGAUAGUGAUAGUGAGAGGGUUACUGUGUUCCAGGUGAGACUGUAUAUAGUGAGAGGGUUACUGUGUUCCAGGUGAGACAGUAGAUAGUGAGAGGGUUACUGUGUUCCAGGUGAGACUGUAUAUAGUGAGAGGGUUACUGUGUUCCAGGUGAGACUGUAUAUAGUGAGAGGGUUACUGUGUUCCAGGUGAGACUGUAUAUAGUGAUAGUGAGAGGGUUACUGUGUUCCAGGUUAGACAGUAGAUAGUGAUAGUGAGAGGGUUACUGUGUUCCAGGUGAGACAGUAGAUAGUGAGAGGGUUACUGUGUUCCAGGUCAGACAGGACAAAAAGGAGACCCUGGAGUUGAUGGCCAGACUGGAGCCAAGGGAGAAGCAGGGGAACCAGGAUUCGAAGGGGAUUCACCUUACUCCUACUGACCCCAAACCUUAAGAUCAAUCUAAACCCCAAUAGGAAAUGUGACAUAAUUACUGAUCUUUCAUGUCAUAACAAUGCAUUUAGUAGUCUGUGGUUCUUAUUAAUGCUCAUAUCCACUGGCAAACAGAGUUCUCUUGUAGUUCUACCACUAAUGAUCUCCAUACAGUACAUCAACUCAAUAAUAAGUCACUGUUUCAGGUGAAGAUGGUACCACUGGGCAACAAGGACCAGCUGGAACACCAGGUAGACCCAGUAGUACUAACAUGGAACCAGUCCAGUAGUACUAACAUGGAAUACAACUCAAGCUGUGGCGUUAUGAGAAAAUGGUGGAUAAGUUGACUGUUUACCAUGGCAGUUACCCAUGCAUCAACACUAACUUUAAUCAGCUCCUUGGUGGACAGGUAGGACCGUGAUAUUAGUGUGUUCUUUUAGUCUGAGAGACAGAGGCUAGAUUAAUUAUUGACAGUGUCACAUGGGCCAGUUCUACAGGUGGAGCUGGAUGAUUUAGUGUUAGGGACAUUGAAUAUUACCCCCUCUCUCACCCCAUCCAUCACAGAGGAAACGUGCGUCGUGUACUUGAUGUCCCAAAGCCAGUCCAAAUAAAGUAUGCUUUGAUACAUAUUUGAUUAGCUGAACUUGCUCCGGGACUUUGCAUUUUUUUAAUUGCUUAAAAAACUAGCCCUGACUCUUGAAAAGUUUUAGGGAGGGGGGAGGUGUUAAUGAAUUUAAAAAUAGUGUAGGAUGAAUGGUUAAAACUGCUGCUGCCCAGGCAGAGACUCUUCUUUUUCUCUCAGUAGGCUGAUGAUCACAAGGCCCUAUUCUCUUACGCCCUGGAAUAAGUAGAAGAUGGACUCAAACUCCCCUUUUUAGUUAACAGAGUCAUAAAUAAUGCCCAAUAAUGUUUGGACCCUGUUUUGUGUUGCUACCAUGUCGUGCUGCUGCCAUGUUGUGUUGCUACCAUGUUGUUGUCAUGAUUUGUUGCUACCAUGUCGUGCUGCUGCCAUGUUGUGUUACUACCAUGUUGUUGUCAUGUUGUGUUGCUACCAUGUCGUGCUGCUGCCAUGUUGUGUUGGUACCAUGUUGUUGUCAUGUUGUGUUGCUACCAUGCUGUGUUGUCAUGUGUUGCUGCCAUGCUAUGUUAAUGUCUUAGGUCUCUCUUUAUGUAGUGUCGUGUUAUUUCUCUUGUCGUGAUGUGUGUUUUGUCCAUUAUUUGUAUUUAUUUUUAAUCCCAGCCCCCGUCCCCGCAGGAGGCCUUUUGCCGUUUUGGUAGGCCAUCAUUGUAAAUAAGAAUUUAUUCUUAACUGACUUGCCUAGUUAAAUAAAGAUUAAAUAAAUAAAAAAUGCAUUAAAAUAAAAAUAAAAUUUCCCUCAUCAUGACUGGCUCAAGUGUUGUAACAUUUCCAGGCAUAGUUCCACAUUUCUGUCACAGCUGUCGUGGAAGAGAGAAUGGGACCAAGGCGCAGCGGGUUGCGUGCUCAACAUAUUUAUUAAAUAAAAUGAGAACACCACGGAAAAACAAUAAACAAACUAACGACAGGAACAGAGCCGCAGGCUCAACAAAAGCAGUGCUCUCAAACAACUACCCACAAGUGACAAACAAAAACACACACCUAUUUAUAGGACUCCCAAUCAGAGGCAACUAGAAACACCUGCCUCCAAUUGAGAGUCCAGCACCCAACCUACACAUAGAAAAACUAACCUAGAAUAUACACAUAGAAAUACAAACAUAGACCAGUGACCAAAAACCCCGUAAUACAUAAAUAAACUACCCUCUGCCACAUCCUGACCAAACUACAAUAACAAAAUAUCCUCUAUACUGGUCAGGACGUGACAAUUUCAGCCUUCUCAGUUUCUGUUCCGGUUGUCACAGUAAUAUACAGAAACGACAUAUGUACGAUCUUAAUUUGAGCCAGUUCACAACAGCAGGAAAAUAAUCCUGCAGAAACAGGAAAUGUGAAUUAUUAUGUGGAUUAUAAUUAAUGGACAUUAUUUGUAGGGGUUGAUACAUUUUUCUUGAGGGGAAA